CCUACGGGUGGCAGCAGUGGGGAAUAUUGCACAAUGGGGGAAACCCUGAUGCAGCGACGCCGCGUGAAGGAUGAAGUAUUUCGGUAUGUAAACUUCUAUCAGCCGGGAAGAAAAUGACGGUACCUGACUCAGAAGCCCCGGCUAACUACGUGCCAGCAGCCGCGGUAAUACGUAGGGGGCAAGCGUUAUCCGGAUUUACUGGGUGUAAAGGGAGCGUAGACGGUAUGGCAAGUCUGAUGUGAAAACCCGGGGCUCAACCCCGGGACUGCAUUUGAAACUGCCGAACUAGAGUGUCGGAGAGGCAAGUGGAAUUCCCAGUGUAGCGGUGAAAUGCGUAGAUAUUGAGAGGAACCAC
rnacentral:rRNA from 1 species